UACGUAGGGAGCAAGCGUUGUCCGGAAUCAUUGGGCGUAAAGCGCGCGUAGGUGGCUUCGUAAGUCCGUUGUGAAAGUCAAAGGCUCAACCUUUGAAAGCCGAUGGAUACUGCGGAGCUAGAGUACGGAAGAGGCGAGUGGAAUUCCUGGUGUAGCGGUGAAAUGCGCAGAUAUCGGGAAGAACACCAGUGGCGAAGGCGGCUCACUGGUCCGGUACUGACGCUGAGGUGCGAAAGCGUGGGGAGCAAACAGG
rnacentral:rRNA from 1 species